rnacentral:pre_miRNA from 1 species
UAUAUACUUCCUCCGUUCGGAAAUACUUGUUCGAGAAAUGGAUGUAUCUAGAUGUAUUUUAAUUCUAGAUACAUUCAUUUAUAUCCAUUUCUAUGACAAGUAUUUCUGGACGAAGGGAGUAUAUG